rnacentral:lncRNA from 1 species
CCCCGCCUUCUGCGUCUCGGCCGGACGCGGCCGCACUCAGGUCCGCCGCCGCGGGGCGCUGCGGCCGCCCCGCCCCCGCCGCCGCCACCCGGUCGGUCCGUCGGUCCGUCAGCCAGUCACGGAGCGCGCGGCGCGGGAGCUGCCGGCGCUGUCUGCGUCUCCGGGGAAGGAGCGCCGCGCCUGGGGAGGAGGCGGUGGCUGGAGGAGCGCGAGCAGUGGCAACCCUGUCCGGGGCCGCGACGUUCGCCGGGGCCGCCGGAGGACUGAGCGGCUGUAGCGGUGAGUGCUCCUCCUCGCCCUCGGGGUCGGGGGAGGGAGUCGGCGGGGCCGGGAGCGCUCCCGCCUCCAUUUUCCCGGCGCUCUGCCCGGCCAUCCGGGCGCGGUGCGAGCGACCGCUGCCUGGGGCGGGGUCGCUGCCGGUCUCGAGCCGGCUGGUCUGCGCCGGGCGAGGAGCCUGCCGCCGGGCGAGGAGCCUGCCGGUGCGUGGGGGUCGGCGGGCCUGGGUUGCACCUCGCGCCCCUGGGGGCUGCACGGAGGGAGACAAUGAGAUCUGGGCCGCCUAGAGAGGGUGCGGUUGGGAUUCUCCGACCUGGCACUGGGGGGCUGGUGGCCCGGGACCGAAGGGAGGAAUGGACUGUUCGCCAACCAGCCGCAAAAACCUGUGACUCAAUGUGGCAUUGCUCAGGCUUCGAUGCCCCCCACCAUUCACAGAUGAGUUCAGUGCAGAGAUUUAGAAAGGCGGGGCGCCUUCUGCGUCUUCUCAUUAAAGAAGCUAAGUAAUCGCUCGCUCCAAUGCUUUUCAGCCCCGUUUUAUCUUUCCGUGUACAUUCCCGCCGGAAAUCUAAACUGCAGUUCAUUGGGGGUGGGGGCAGAAAGGGAGGCGGCAGUGUAAUAGUAUUAGUUGGGAUGCCUUCGUUUUAAGAUGGUCUCUACGAUGUAUUUUUCUUAAUUAGGCAGUGUCUUAGGGUGGCCCCACUGUGUGAGUUGGAAACCGCGUAUGCCUUAUACCUUGUAAGCACGAAGACGUGGCUUAGUGUGAAAUAAGAGCUUAUGGGUUUCACAUUGUUAACAUGAAUCUUGUGUAUUACAUUUCUUAUACUCUGUAGGAAGAGCAUUUGGGGCAAUGUGGGAGAAUGGAUAGAUUCUUUACUUAGUCUUCCAAUAAGGGUUGAUGUUGUCUGCAGCAUUUCCCAUGGAGAUAUGGAGAGCUGCCUAGCGUGUGAAGUCCACUGUAAAAGAACCGUAAAGGUAACGGGCUAGGGGUGAGGCGUGAUCGGAUUGUUAAAGGGUGGUAUUGAAUCCAUGAGAAUAUUAAAUUCAGUAGACAUAUGUGAAAUACCUACUCUCAGGCAGAGUAAAGGACACAGAGUGAACAAGAACUACAACUUGGGAUGGUUCAAAGAACUCUUUGGAGCUGGGUGGAGGGAAGGGGGUAGGAAACCAGUUCCAUAUGCACUGGAAUUGGCAACCUGAAUAAUCUGUUGAACUCUUAAGUAGUUCCCUAUCAGUAAACAGGAAUAACACCAUCUGUUUACACUUCCCCAGAUAGUUGUCAUCAGGAUAAAUGAGAUAAUAUAUGCGAAAGUAAUAGCACCUCUCCUGACACUGGGGUGUUUAGUAAAUGUUAAUCCCUUUUCUUCCUUUCCUACUGAUCUCUGAGGUUUUUUGAGGGGAGGGCGGGUAAAAAGUGGAUAUAGGUAAUUGUAGUAAUGUGGCACAUUAUAUAAUAAAUAUUGAAGUAAAGAUGUAGAAUAAGGUAGUCAAGGAGAGAGAUUGAUUCUAGAUUAUGGGCAUUGGGGGAAAAUCCUUUGAAGUGUUGGCGUUAAGGAUGGGUAGGAUUUCAACAGAUGGAGAGGGGAAGACAUUCCACCUGGAGGUGGUGCUUUCCUUUGAGAGCUGAAUUGAGCCUGAGGAUCAUUGGGGGAGGGGCAAAACAGAGACACAGAAAGGUUUUUAGCUCUUCUCGAGUCUUUCAGAUUGUCUGUUUUGUUUGUGUGUGUGUGUGUGUGUGUGUAUCUGGAUAUAGCUCUGUUCAAGUAAGUACAAAAAUAUCUGCAAAGCUUAAUACCUGAUUUCUUUUUGCAUUAAAUAUUUUGUGUUGUUUGAAUUGCUGCUCUCUUUUGUUUGAAUUUAGUAAUUAUUUGUAGAUCUUUCCUUGUGAUGAAUAUUGCUGUUUGUUAGAAGCAGCAACUAAUGUUUUAGUGACACUUUAGUGACACCAGUGUCACUAAGAUUACAUAGAAGGUUAUUUAUUGACUGAAAGGAGUGGCGUAUGGAGCACAUGGUAUGUUUUCACAAUUUUUAACAGUUUGUUUUCUGAAAAGGUAUUUUUGACCAUUGUCUUUUGAGGAUAAAAGUGACUACUAUAUGAUGUACAUUAAUUUAAGCACUUUAUUGACUUAUUGAAUCCUCACUAUAAACUUAUUCAAUAGAUUCAUUAUUAUUUGAGAAAAUAGGUACAGAUAAUAAGUUACUUGCCCCAAAACUACAGAGCUAUAAAGUAGCAGCCUAAUUCUUAAGCUUGUAUUCUUAACAAUUUUCCUGUGCUACUACUGUAGUAAAAUAAACAACACACACUUUAAAAAAAAAAAAACUUUGUGGUAAAUUAUAUAACAUAAAAUUUGCCCUUUUUUUUGGUGGUCAGUAUUUUUAGUGGUAUUAAGUAUAUUGAUACUGUUGUGCAACUAUUACAUUACCCAUCUCCAGAACUUUUUCAUUAUCCCCAAGCUGAAAUUCUACCCAUUAAAUCAUAAUUCUCCACCUACCCUUCAGCCUCUAGUAAUAAUUUUUCUAUUUCUGUCUUUAUGAAUUUGACUACUCCCGGUACUUCAUACAAGUUGAAUCAAACAUUUGUUCUUUCGUGUUUGACUUAUGUCGUUUAACAUAAUGUAAUCAAGAUUCAUCCAUACUCUAAUGUGUAUCAGAAUUUUUUUCCUUUUCUUAAAAUAUCUUUAAACUUAUAAAGUGUAUCAGAAUUUCUUUCCCACCCCCUCCAGCACUAAGAGUUGAACCCAGGGCUUUGGGCAUGCUAGGCAAGCAUCCUACCCCUGGGGAGGUACAUUCCCAGACCUUUUUUUUUUUUUUUAAUAUUUUUUAAUUGUUGAUGGACUUUUGUUUUUAUUUAUUUGUAUGUGGUGCUGAGAAUCAAACCCAGUGCCUCACGCAUACUAGGCAAGCAUGCUACUACUGAGCCACAACCCCAGCCCCCAGACCUUUUUAUUUUUGAGACAGGAUCUGGAUAAUUGCUCAGGCUUGCUUUAAACUUGAAAUUUUCCUGUCUCAGCCUCCUGAGUAGCUGAGUGUGUGCUUUCAUUCCUUUUUAAGAUGGAGUAAUGUGCCGUUAUAUGUGUAUACCAUAUUUAUGGACAUUUGAAUUGUUUCUACUGUUUGGUUAUUGUGAAUAAUGCUGCUGUGAACAUUGGGGUACAGAUGUCUGAGUCCCUUAUUUCAGUUCUUUGGGGUGUAUACCCAGAAGUGGAAUUGUUAGGUCAUAUGAUAAUUCUAUAGUUAAUUUUUGGGGAAACUACCAUAUUGUUUUUCACAGCAGUUGUGACAUGUUACAUCCCUACUAGCUGUGUGCAGGCUUUCUCCAUAUUCUUGUCAGUUCUUCUCCCCCCAUCCCCCCUGUGGUGCCGUGGAUUGAAGGCAGGACCCUGCACAUACUCUGCCACUGAGCUAUGCCCCCAGUUCCUUUCUUAAUAUAUGUGUAUAAAUAUACAUAUAUAUGUAUAUAUGUGUGUGUAUAUAUGUAUCUCCACACAUAUAGUGUGUGUAUGUACACAUAUGAAUAUAUUUUAUGUAUUUAUGUGUAUUUACAUAUAUUUGGGUAUAUAUACACACACACUUUUUAAAAAAUUGUAUUCAGUUGUAUAUAGACACAAUACCUAUAUUUUUAUUUAUUUAUUUUUAUGUGGUGCUGAGGAUUGAAUCCAGUGCAUCACACAUGCAAGGCAAGCACUUUACCACUGAGCAACAGCCCCAGCUCAUACACACACUUUUUCCAUGAUUGCUGCUAUAUGUGUGAAAUGGUGUCUCAUUGUGGUUUUCCUAAUGAAUGAUUAGUAAUGAUGACCAUCUUUUCAUGUGCUUUUUGGCCAUUGGUAUAUCUUUGGAGGAAUAUCUAUUCAAGUCCUUUAUUCAUUUUUAAAUUGUGUUUGUUGUUUUGUUGUUGUUGAGUUGGAGGAGUGUUUUUAUUUACUCUGGAUAUUAACCCCUUAUUAAAUAUAUGAUUUGCAAACAUUUUCUUCAAUUUUGUGUGUUGCCUUUUCACUGUCUUGAUAUUUUCUUGUAACACAUAAUAUUUUUAGAUGUAGAUGGACAAAUACCUUAUGUGGUGCUGAGGAUUGAAUCUGGUGCCUCAUACAUACAUGCUAGGCAAGUGCUCUACCACUGAGCUGUAGCCCCAGCCCCAUUAAAUUUCCUUUUUUCUGUUGUUGCCUAUGCUUUUUUUGAUCAUGUUCAAGAAAUCAUUGUCAAAUGCAGUUUGUGAAGUUUUCCCCUUAUACUUUAUUCUAGGAGUUUUGUAGUCUUAGCUCUUAAAUUUAUAUCUUUGAUCCAUUUUGAGUUAAUUUUGUAUAUGGUUUACAUAAGGUAUUAACUUCAUUCUUUUUGUCUGUAGUCCUUUCAGCACUGUUUGUUGAAAGGAUUAUCUUUUUCUUACUGAAUGGUCUUGGCACCUUCCCAUUCUCAUAUAUGUAUAUGUAUGUAUGCGUGUGUAUGUUUAAAAUUUUUAACACAUCGAAGAUCAUAGUACUACAUGGUUAUAUAUAAUUAAUUUUGUAGGGGGCAGACAUUCUGUCUUUACUGUCUCUGUGCUUGUAAAUUUUAAAUGGUCAUUGAUAAGGAAGGCCAUAGACUGAAGUAGAUUUUAUUUUAGAAAUCCAGUUCUUGUGCAGAUCUAUUUAUAAUUGUCUCAACAAUACCUUACUGUGGCAUAUGCAUGGUGCUCAGUUAAUAAACAAGACCUAGGCACAUUUCUUUGGGAGCAUACUCAUCCUGUGAUAGUCAUUUUGCUUAGUAACAAUGAACAUGUAACAGUAAGUUCUCAUAUUACAAAUUAGGUUUUUUAUAGCUCAUUGCAAGUUUUGAGUUUAUCUUGCCUUAUAAGCAGUUGUUAAAUAUUGUUAUUAAGUCAAUUUUGGAAGAAGAGAUUAUUGUUUAUUAUUUUUAAGUUUGGAUUCAUAUACUUGAGGCUACAGAGUGGACCCUUAAAAGCUGCAAACAAAACACUGCCUACUUGCAGCUAUUAUCUGGGCAAAAUUAAAGCAAGAUUUUUCGGGGCUGGGGUUGUGGCUCAGCGGUAGAGCGCUUGUCUCACAUGUGCAAGACACUGGGUUCUAUCCUCAGCAUCACAUAAUAAUAAAUAGAUAAAAUAAAACUACUGUGUCCAUCUACAACUAAACAUGUAUUUUAAAAAGUAAACAUGUUGCUGGGGUGCCAUGGCACAUGCCUAUAAUCCCAGCAGCUUGGGAGGUUGAGGCAGGAGGAUUGGGAGUUCGAAGCUAGCCUCAGUAGUGGCGAGGCACUAAGCAACUCAGUGAGACCCUGUCUCUAAAUAAAAAAUACAAAAUGGGGCUGGGGAUGUGGCUCAGUGGUCCAGUGCCCCUUAGUUCAAACUUCAGUAAAAUAAAUAAAUAAAUAAAGUAAACAUGUUAUUUAGGUGGUCAUAAGACUGUAACUAAUAUAUCUAAUUCACACCUUCUCCAGCUUAUAAGAAGUUAACAUAAUGUACUUGAACAAAAAAAUAACAUUAGCAACACUUUAGCCAGUUUUACAUGGGAUACUCAUAUAAAAUUUCAUCCAGAAAAAUUUUAUUGUGAAAUAGUAGUCAACUUCCAGAUUUAUAAUUUCUAAAGUUUCAUCCCAUGCUAUUAUUUUAAUCUAAAAUAUUUACCACACUUUGAGGUUAGUAUCUUAAAGCACAUGAUUCAUGGUUUAUACACUGGCUUUUUUAAAGAAAUAUAUACUUUAAAAAUAUAAAAAUAUAUGCUGUUAAUAAAAUGCAUACUGUUUCUCUGCAUUAGGUGCAUCUAGGCAUAAUCAAGAAAGCAAAGAGACAAAUAUUCUCCAAAAUAAAAAGGAUGCCAUUUUAAGUGGCACUUUAAGACAGGACUCGGUAGAGAAUGUGAUUGAAGAAGCUGGUUCUACAAAAAAGCAGGCCUAGGAGUUAAAACCAAGUGAAGAGCCAGGUGUGCAGUGGCACCCGCCUAUAAUCCCAGGCAGGAGGAUUGUGAGUUUAAAGCUAGCCUCAGCAAUGGCAAGCAACUCAGUGAGACCUGUCUCUAUAUAAAAUACAAAAUAGGGCUGGGGAUGUGGCUCAGUGGUCAAGUGCCUCUGAAUUCAAUCCCCAGGACCAAAAAAAAAAAAGGUGAAGAGAUUAGAUUUGGAAAAGUGAGACAGUUCAUUAGAUGCGGAAAAAAAAGCAAGAUUGAGAGGUCUAUGAUAAUGUUUUAUCAUUCUGUAAGACUAUUAUAAGCUCCUUGAAGAAUGGUAACAUGUAGUGAAAAUUGACUCUAAAAAUAGUAGAUAGACCCAAAUACUAUAGAAUCAUAAGUCACUUUUGUAACUACACUUUAAAAAAAUGGUAUGCCUUAACCCUUUAGGACAAUCUUACUAAGUUUGAGAUGUCAAGAAAAGUGUUAGCUAAGUCAGAACCACAAGACAACUACUGUAACUUGCAAAUAUAAAUAUAUUCUUUAUGUCAUAAAGAAUUGUGCAUGCCUCAGUCCUCUAUGCACAAUUCCCAAGCAUAGUUUUUCUCCCUAAUUUUUCCAGUCAAAAACCUAUUUAUCCUUUGGACCCAGCUGCAUUGCUGUGAAUCUCUCUGAAGCUGUGAAAGCAGAAUUAAUUGCUUUCUUCAUCAUGCCUAUAGGCCUUACUUGCUUUGCUUUAUGUUGUAGUUAAUCGUGUACUGUUUUACAUUUCAUUGUGUUCUGCAGUAUCACACCUGGUUUUACUCAUCUAAAAUAUACCCCUUGGUCCCUUAAGUGUACAUGAUAGAAAUUCAGUGAUAAGGUUUUCAUGAAAGCCUUUAUUUAAGGAAUUCUUUUUUUUUUUUAAAGAGUUUGUAAUGUUUUUUCUUUAAUACCUUUAUUCCUUUCAUUUUUUUUAUUUUAUUUUUUAAAAAUAUUUUUUAGUUAUGGAUGGAUGCAAUAUCUUUAUUUUGUUUAUUCAGUUUUAUUUGGUGUGAGGAUCUAACCCAGUGCCUCACAUGUGUGAGGCGCACUCUGCCACUGAGCCACAACCCCAGCCCCCCCAUUCAUUUAUUUUUAUGUGGUGCUGAGGAUCAAACCCAGGGCCCUGGGCAUGCUAGGCAGGCACUCUACCGUUGAGCCACAAUUCCAGCCCCUUUAAGGAAUUCUUUGUAGCUCACAUUAAAUCUAUUGUUUAUUUUAUUUAUAAAGUUUAAUUAUUUCUUGGCUCAUUAGUUUAUUUCAUAUUGUAACAGAUUACAUUGGAAAAUGGUGAAGGAAAUUAGUGAUUCCCCCGUAUCUGUGAGUAGUAUGCCUUGUGUUAGCAAUGGUUAAAAAACCUUUUUGUUUACCCUAUGUUUCAAAAAUAAAUUGUACAUUUUAAAGCAAAAGCAGUGAACAUGAAAACCUUGGUUUUUAGUACUUGGUGAUAGGGAAUUUCCAAAGUCUGAGUCUAAUCUGUUUUCUUUGGUACUUGUUUUUGAUAUUGUUAUUAAUCGAAAGGAAACUCAUUAAGGAACUUGUAAUCAAAAGAGCAGGUACAUAUUUGGCUGUACUUUCUGAAUGCAAAUACUCAUAAUUAAGUUUCUGUCCAGUGUUUAUACAGGUUUGACUUAGAGUUUGCUUUUCUUAUAUCAGUAGGCUGUUCUUGCAAACCAAUUCAAGAUACAUUGAAAUGCUGUUGGAAGGUGUUUUAAUGUUAGAAAUGGCUUCUCUGUUCAAACAGAAUGAAUGUACAGGUAUGAGAGUUUUUGUUUUUGUUUUUUUCAGAAUACAGUUAUUCCUAAAUUUUAAGCUCUCUUACCUUUAAGGGACAGGCAGAUUUACCAUGUUUUUGUUUUUUAAAAAUAAAAGCUAGGUAGCAUAUUGCCACAACCACUUGUCAAUCAUGAAAAGUUAUCAAAUUUAGUUUUUGUUGAUGUAAAAGUUAAAUACUUAACUCAUAUUUUAAACAUCAACUCUUUUUUUAUUUUUUUUAGUUGUAGAUGGACACAAUAUCUUUAUUUUUAUUUAUUUUUUUUAAUGUGCUGAGGAUCAAAAUCAGGGCCUCACAUAUGCAAGGGGAGGGCUCUACCACUGAGCCACAACCCCAGCCCAAAUAUCAACUUUUUAAAAAUACUUUUCUAUGAGACAGCCAAUAAAGCUGUUUGCUACAAAAUACUAAGGUCACUCCUCAGCCACAUCAAUAACAUCCUGGAACCCUUGGCUCUUUUCUUGCUUCAUCUUCUCUUUUGCUGCAGUAUUUGGUUUUUAAAAUUAAACAUCCUCAUCCCCAGCUUUCUUUUAUUAAGGUCAAAGCAGCUGCUUCAUGAAAGCUGCUACAGAUUUUGUGUUACAGUUUUCCAUCAAUCAUUGUUUCUAUUAAGGAAAUUAUUUACUGGAACACCAGUCUCUGGUAACAGUUUACAAAAAAGGUAAGUUAUUUCAUUACUGAAAAAAAUGUAGCAAAUACUAUCACUCUUUCUCUUGAGACUUAGAAUUGCUUACUACCUGAAUACUUAGCUUACUUUAUAUGUAUGACUGUCUGAGAGGUGGCCACAAUAAAGAUGCCAGUGUCACCCUGCAUGUUAAAAGAUAUAUAUUAUAGUUAGAAUACACAUAUAUAUAUAUUAAGAUAAAGAUUAAAUAAAAAUAGAACUUCUAAUAUGAUAUCCAGUGAAUUAUCACUCAUCUCCUAAGGUAUGAAUCACCUCAGUUUUGAAAACAUUUACACACAUAUAUGUAUAUAUAUAUAUAUAUGUGUGUGUGUGUGUGUGUGUAUGUAUAUGUAUAUAUUUAAGUUGUUGAUUAACCUUUAUUUAUUUAUAUGUGGUGCUGAGAAUCAAACCCAGUGCCUCACUCAUGCCAGUCAAGUGCUCUACCGCUCAGCCAUAGCCCCAGCCCCUUGAAAACAUUAUUAAUUGAAUUUAUAUUGUUCAUAAUGAGCCUUUCAUAUUAUUUCAUUUCAUACUGUAUAAUAUUCUUAUGCCAUCUUAAAAAUAAAUGACUAUGGACAAGACAUUCUGGUUCUUUAACUGGAAAAUAAUGUUUUUGAAAAAAAGGAGGUAAAUGUCAGCAAAGUGAGACCUUAAUAAAAUUUAUUCUUUCCCACAGUUGAAACUGUGGGACCUGUUUCAGAAACUGUAGACCUGUUUCAGAAGCCUAAAUUUGGAUUUUGCAUUUUUCUUUCAGAAAUUGUUCAGGUAAAUCAAAAGUACCAAUUAAAUAUGAGUUUAGUUAUUCAGUAGUAUCUGAUAGAAUUUUUUUCAUGUCCGUAGUAAGAUUUUUUUCCCCUCAGUACCCCUAGCAAGACAUAAAAUAUUUCCCAUGAUUCUAUCAUUGACCUUUUUAGUCUCAACUUCUUACCAUCUCUGAAGCAACUGCAGUCGCAAUUGCUUCACACCAGGUAAGUUUUUCCUGUUCUGUAACUUCAUGUUAAUUGAAUCCUAUCUAUGUAUAUUUUGUCUCUAGCUUCUUGUACUCAGCAUAAUUUUAGAUUUCUUUGUUAUUGCAUAUAUCAAUAGUUUCUUUUUAUUACUGAGUAAUAUUCAGUUGUAUGUAUAUGCCAUAAAUUGCUUAUCCAGUUUCCUGUUGAUGAGCAACAGAUCUGGUUCCACUUUGGAAUAAUGAAGAAAACAACUGUGAACAUUUUUGUAGGAGACUUUUUUGUGACUCUACUUGGAUAAAGGAGAGGGAUUGGUAGAUGUUCCUCCUUUGAACUAUAUUAAGAAAAGUGCACAUUAUCAGAAGUGUACAUGUUUUCAAUUCCUGUAUAACCAGUACACAGAUGAAAGAAAAUUACCAGUGUGUCAGAAGUGUUCUUCAUUGACUUCUCAAUACCUCAGCACUCUCAUGAAUAGUCACUGUCUUUACUUCUUUUUUGUGGGGAGGGGGGUACCAGGGAUUGAACUUAGGGGCACUCAAACACUGAACCAUGACCCCAGCCCUAUUUUGUAUCUUUUUUUACAGACAGCCCACAGCCUUAACUUCUAACUCUAAUUCUGCUAUGAAGUAUUUUGGCUUUUUUUUUUUUAAUAUAUAUUUUUUAGUUGUAGAUGGACACAGUACUUUUAUUUUAUUUUUGUAUGGUGCUAGGGAUCGGACCCAGCGCCUCAUGCAUGCUAGACAAGCGCUCUACUUGAGCUCUUACUCAGCCACAACCCUGGCCCCCCAGCUUGCUUGUUUUAUAAAAAAAUUAUUUUUACCACUUUGUUGAGAUAUAAUUUCUAUAUAAUAAACUGCAUAUAUUAAAGCAUACAAUUUGAUAAGUUUUCAUAACACUUAUUAAACCAUUACAACAAGAUAGCAAAUAUUGGUUAGGUGCAGUGGCGCACACCUGUAAUCCCAGCAGCUUGGUAGGCUGAGGCAAGAGAAUCGAGAGUUCAAAGCCAGCCUCAGCAAAAGUGAGACACUAAGCAACUCAGUGAGACCCUGUCUCUGAUCUUUUUUUUUUUUUUUUUUUUUUAGGUGUAGGUGGACACAACACAAUGCCUUUAUUUUUAUGUGGUGCUGAGAAUCGAACCCGGGUCCUGCCUAUGCUAGGCAAGCGCUCUACCACUGAGCCACAAUCCCAGCCCCGAGACCCUGUCUCUAGAUAAAAUACAAAAUAGGACUGGGGAUGCGGCUCAGUGGUCAAGUGUCCCUGAGUUCAAUCCUGAGUACCCCCCCUCCCCAAAAAAAAAAAGAUAGCAAAUAUCUAAAAGUUUCUUUGUAUACUUUUGGAUUUUAUGCCACUCUUAACCCAUCUCCUAGCAGCCUGUUCUCCACACCCCUGCCUGGCUUGUUUUCAUGCAGAAUAAUGAUUUUUAGAUUGUUCCGUAUUGCCUAGAUUAGUUCCUUUUUUAUUGCUGAAUGUUAUUCCAAUAUGUAUAUAUACUAUGUUUUGUGGGCUUUUUCCAUUUUUGGCUUUUACAGAUAAUGGUGGUAGGAUAUCUGUGGACAUAUUUUCAUUUCUCUUAGAUAAAUUCCUAUGAGGGCAUGCUAGGUUUUAGGAUAGGUAUAUUUUUAACUUUUUAAGAAAUGGGCGAAUUUUUCCAAAGGUGUACCAUGUUAUAUAUCCAAUAGCAAUUAGAUAGUAUUUCUUAUUGCUCUAAGUCUAAACACUUGGUAUUGUCAAUCUUCCUGGAUAUAGUGAUCUCUCAUUGUAGUUUUAAUUUGUAUUUCUCAGAUUAUAAAUACUGUUGAUCUAGUUUUCAUGUUCUUGUUAGCCAUUUUGAAAGUAGCUAUACAAAUAUUUUGCCAUUUUAAAAAUUGGGAUAUAUAUGUUUUUAUUAACUUGUAACAAUUCUUGGUAUAUUUUACAUAUAAGCCUUUAUCAGAUAUAUAUGUGAAUAUUUUAAUUUGUGGCUUUCCCAUUUAUUUUUUAGUAGUGUCUUUCAAAAAGCAGAAGUUUUUACACUGGACUUCACCAAAAUUAUUAUUUUUUUCUUUUAUAGUUAGUGUUUUCUUGUUUUAAUAAAUUGCUGUUACCAAAGUUGAAAAGAUAUAAUUAUGUAUUUUCUCCUAGGAGCUUUAUAAUUUUACCUCUUGAAUUGCAAUCUGUAAUCCAUUUCAAAUUAAUUUUUGCUUAUGGUAUGAGCAUGGGGAUUGAAACUCCCCUCCCCCCAUAUUUUACCUAGUUUCCCAGCAUCAUUUGUUAACACUUUCUUUUCCUCAUUACCUACUUAGACUUUGACAUCCUUGUUGAAAAUCAUUUUGUAUAAUCAUGAGCCUGUUAUUAGACUCACCAGUAUGUUACAUUGAUUUAAUUUCAUGUCCUUUUGCCCAUACUUCAUUGUCUUAAAUAUAGUCCUAACAUCAAAUACAGUAAGUGCUUCAAUCUUCAAGAUUGUUGUGGCUAUUUUUAGUCAUUUGUUUUUCCAUAUAAAGUUUAGAAUCACCCUGUAAGUUUCCAUAAAAAAAUAAAGAAGUUUGCUUGGGAUAUUGUUUGUAAUUACAUCAACCAUCUAAUCAGUUUGGGGAGAAUUGACAAUAAUAUUGCAUUUUCCAAUUCAUUAAUAUGGUGUAUCUGUCCACUUAUUUCUUUAAUUUAUGUUUUUAAUUUCUCCUGGUAGUCUCAUGUAUUUCCUUUGCCUUAGAAUGUUAUAUAAACAUUAUGCUCUCCUGUUUCUAUUUUUUAAAUGGCCAAAUCAUCCUUUACACAUGCUUUGUUUUUAUGAUAUAAAUUAAGAUUUGGUAUUUCUAUCUUCCUUAUGAUAUCUGAUUUGUAGAUAUCAUAUUCCUCUAGAAAUAGAGGAAACCAAAAGAGAUACUUUUAGAAAUAUAAAACUAGAAGUUUAGACUGUCUAAUUGUUGGCACAAUUCUUUUGGCUUAUAUGGUUGUGGAUACUCAUUUAUUGAGGAUUAUCUUUAUUAAUAUAGUCGGAUAUUUUUAAAAUCAGAAGUAAAAUUGAAUCCUAUCAGUUUAUUGGGAGCAUAUGUUUUUAUCAGAGGAUUUUCUUGAGUGUGUAUUUUAUGGUUUGCUUUUUUUACUGAUAAUAUUAAUGGAAAUAUGCAACAGAAAAUAUAUAAAGACAAUAAAACAUAUUCCUACCACCCAGAAAUGACCAUAGUUAAGAUUUUUGCUAUAUUUUCUCAUGUGUAUAUAUAUUUGUUUAACUCAUUUUGGGGUACACAGCUUAGUUCUGUUUCUUCCAUUCAGAAUGUUUGAUUUUGCUGAGCCUACUUGUGUGCAAUCUUUAUCUAAACAUUUUGAAUUUUUUUUAAAGUUAUCUUUAAACCCAAUUAGAAUAUGUAGACAUGCACAUAUUCACCUCCAGCAGUAAUUUGUUAUUUAUAUUUGCUUCAAGUAAGACAUGUAGCAUGUACAAUGAAAGCUCUCUUCAGGAUAAUUUAUUUUGUCCCAUGCACAUUUCAGUACUAUUUCAUACACGUGUAUAUUCACAGAAUUUUAUUUAUUUAUUUAUUUAUGUAUUUGGCAGUACUGGAAGUCAAAUCCAGAGCCUUUUGCAUGCCAGGCAAGCUACAUACAUCCCCAGCCCUUUUUAAAAUCUUAUUUUGAGACAGGGUCUUGCUAAAUUGCCCAUACAGGCCUUGAACUUGCAAUCCUUCUUCAGUCACCUGAGUAGCUGAGAUUACAGGUGUGUGCCUCCAUAACCGAUUUAUUCAUAAAAUUGGUUUAUUCAUAAAAUUUUAUUGCUGUUCUGUGGGUUUGAGUUUUUUAUGCUAACCUUUGUAAAAAGUACAUUUUAACUCCUUAGGAUUGACAUUAUCCAUACUGGUUCUUAUAAAUCCAGCUUAUUCUCUUUUAUCAGAAUAAACCAUUUUUCCAUUUUUCCCAUGGGAGUUAGAUGGUUAAGAGGUCACAGUCAACAUCAUUUUACCUUUCUCCUGGUGCUUGUCUCUCUGAGUUGGGCAUUUAGAAAUGGUAUUGCUAAAUCUUAAUAUAUGUAAUCUCUAAAUUGCUUUCCAAAAUGGUGAGGAAAAUAUGUCUCCACCAAAAUGUUCCCAUUGUUCACAUCCUUCUAAUCCUGGUUUUAUCAUGCUUUUUGUCAAUUUGAUGGAUAUUAUUUUUUCUUUAGUAUGUUUCUAGAAGUGUAGUUAUUAGGAUAAGGGGUUUUGUAGUAUUUUUAAUCCAUGAGGAUUGUAUUGUUGCAAAUGUUAUUAAGAGUUUUGACUGAAAGCAUUGUUGUUUAUGUUUAUUUACAGUGGAAUGAAAAGUGUUUGCUCUAAAGAAACCAUAGCUGCCCUAGCUGUAAAACUGAUAUUGGAGAAUUGCCUAAAAUGCAUUAACUCUUGUGUUGUGACAUCUAUGUAGAUAAUUGAGAUGAUUAUUUGGUCAAUAGACUCCUAGAGUGCUUUUUCUUCCUGUGAACUUUUUUUGGGGAACAUUUAAUUCUUGAUCAUCUUGUGCAGUCAAAUAAAAAUGUAAUAUCCAGUCAGGGUUGGGUCUGUUUAUUUAUUUUAAUGAGUUUUAAAACAAUUGUUGUUUGUUUUAGUUUUUUUUUGUGGGUGAGUUUUUUUAAAAAAUAUUUCAAUAGUUACCUAAUGAGUGUUUAUGAUGAAAGAAUAGAAAUUAUUUACUCUGAGAUUGUUGAAUGUGUCCGUUCUGCAUAAUUUAUCUUAAAAAAUACCUCUUUUUUCCCUUGUUUUUAUAACAAAAGAACAUUUCAGAGUUAAAACAUUGUAAAUGUAUAUGCAUUGAGUUUUAAAGAGCAUAAAAGUUACAAAAUUCAGUUAUUUUGUGAGAGAUUUAAAAAACCUGCAGGAGGGAAGGGAACAUGUCUACCCUUAAAAUAGCUACAUUGCCUGUGCUUACCAGCACAGUGCCUGACUCUUCACAGUAAAAUUUCAUUUAGUGUUGUUUUUGAAUGAACAGAGUAAGAAGAAAAAAAGAAGUGUUAUUUCAGGUAGUAGUAGGGUUUUGUUUUGGGGUUUUUUGUUUUGUUUUGUUUUGGUUUUUUUUUUUUUUUUUGGUACCAGCCACUGAACCCAGUGGCACUUUACCACUGAGAUACAUCCCCAGCCCUUUUUACUUUGAGAUGGACUCUUGAUAAGUUGAGUAGGGCCUCACUAAAUUGCUGGUGCUGGCCUUGAAUUCACAAUCUUCCUGCUUUAGCCUCUCAGCUGGGAUUACAUGCAUGCGACACCACUUCAGCCCAGUAGCAGUCUUAGAUGACUAAAAGUUAUGUGUGAUAUUUUUAGUAAAUUAAGUAUAGAAUUACUUCCACUUGAAUCUAGAAUUAUGUUCAAAUUUAAUUCUUAAAUAACAAAUUUUUUAAAUUAAAGACUAGUUUUAAGAACAUUUUUAGAUUCACAGCAAAAUUAAGAAGGUACAGAGAUUUUAUACAUAUCCCCUAACCCCCAGUCGUCCCACCACAUGCUGAGUCUCCCCUGUUAUCAACAUCCCUGCCACACUUGUAUAUUUGAUUCAGUUUAUAUAAUGCUUUGCUUUUGGAGUUAACAUUUUUGGUGUCUGGAUAAAUGUAUGGAGAUAUAUCCAUAUUAUAGUAUCAUGCAUAGUAUUUUCAAUGCACUGAAAAUCUCUACACUCCUCAUAUUUAUCAUCCCCCCAUCCUAAACCCUUGGCAGCCACUGAUCAUUUUACUAUCUCCAGUAUUUCCUUUUUCAGAAUGUCAUAUAGUUGGAAUCAUACCUUAUGUAACUUUUUCAGAUUGGUUUCUUUCACUUAGAGAUACAUAUUUAAGUUUCCUGUGUCUUUUCAUGGUUUGAUAGCAUGGUUUAUUUAUCCAUUUACCUACUAAAUGAUGUGCUAGUUGCCUCCAAGUUUUGGUGAUUAUGAAUAAAACUGCUAUAAACAUCCAUAUGAAAGUUUUUGUGUGGACACAGUUUUUGGGUAAAUACUAAAGAGUGCACUGCUGGAUCACAUGGUAAAAGUAUGUUUAGUUUUGUAAGAAACUGCCAAACUAUCUGUACCCUUUUGCAUUUCCAUGAGCAAGGAAUGUUCCUACUGCUUUACAUCCUCAUCCGCAUUUGAUAAUGUCAGUGUUUUGGAUUUUGACCAUUCUAAUAGAUACAUAGUGGUAUCUAGUUUUAAUUUACAUUUUCCUGAUGAUAAAUGAAGUAGAACACCUUUUCACAUGCUAAUUUGCCAUCUGUUUAUCCUAUUUGAUCAGGUGUUAAUUAAGGUCAUUGGUUCAUUUUUUUCAGCACAUGAUUUGUCUUAGUGUUGAGCUUUAAAAAUUUUGUAAUCUUGGAUAACAUCUUUUGUUAGAUGUGUUUAUUGCAAUUUUUGUCUUUCAGUCUAUGGCUUAUCUUACACUUGACGUUGUCACAGAGCAGAAGUUCUUAAUUUUAAUAAAGUAUGAAGUAUAGCUUAUGUUUUAGUCAGCUUUUUCACUGCUGUGACUAAAAGAUCUGACCAGAACAAUUUUAAGUGAAGAAGAGUUCAAUAGGGCUCAUAGUUUAAGAGGUCUCAGUUUAUAGACAGCCAGCUCCAUUCCUUGGGGCUCAAGGUGAGUCAGGACAUCAUCACAGAAGAGUGUGGUAGAGGGAAGCAGAUCACAUGAUGAUCAGAAAGUAGAGAGAGAGAGAGAUCUCUACUUGCCAGAUACAAAUAUAUACUCAAAACUACACCCCCAAUUCCCUGCCUCCUCCAGCCUACUUUCAGUUACCACUGAAUCCCAUCAGGUGACUAAUUCACUGGAUUAAGGCACUCAAAACCCGAUCAUUUCCCCUCUGAAUCCUCUCUCAUUGUCUCUCCUGUGAGCUUUUUGGGGACACCUCAUAUCCAAACCAUAGCAUUCCACCCCUGGCUCCCAAAAGCUCAUACUCAUCUGACAAUGCAAACAUACAUUCAGUCCAUUCCCAAGAAUUCCCAUAGUUUCAGCAAUUCCAAGUUUAUUCAAAGUUCAAGUCCAAAGUCUUCUCUGAGGCUCAAGGCAAUCUCCCAUUAUGAGCUUCUAUGAAAUUAAAAGCAAUUUACAAGUAUCUAAUAUAUAAUGGUACUAAAUAUUACAUUUACAAAGUAAUAAUUUCCAUUCACAAAAAUAGGGGCAUAGAAAGAAGGGAUGGGACCAAAGCAAGACUGAAAUCUAGCUGGGCAAACAAGUCCUGUAGCUCAGGGUCCAUUAUCUGGAGCACAUGGCAUGAUAUCCCUUCCAAAGGGCUUGUGUAGCUCUCCCCUGUGGCCUUAUUGGUUGCAGCCCAAGUGGUCUUUCUGUUGGCUUGUCUCUGCUCUUCCUGCAGCUUUCUUAGGAUGAUGUCCUACAUUACUGUAAUUUUUUAAUCUUGGGAGUCUCUACUGCAGCUUUGGCUGCCUCCUCACAUCUCCAAGCUUUCCCUAUCAGGGGUUGCCCUCAGGGAUUCUCACUCUGCUGCACUUUGCCAGGCCUCCAGGCCUUCCUUUGAAAUAUUGUGGAAGCCUUCUUGACCACCUAAUUCCAGCUUCUUGCAUUCCUGCAGAAGCAACACCAUGUGGUUGACACCAAGGUCUGCUGCCAUCUUGAGUAGUAGCCAGUCUUCCAGGGACCCUGGCUGUAGCAGCCCAUGAGUGCCUGGGUAGCUGAGCAUGAUGGAAAAAAAAUUCCUAGGCCCCCUUGUGCAAGAAGGGUAGCCCACUAGUCUCUAAUUUUUACUUUUACUUCCUUGGGGCGGGGUGGGGGGCGUGGAGAUGGGUGUGGUCUUGCCAGUUCCUGGGCUGCCCUUGAGCCAUCUUUCUCUUUAUCUCUGGGCAAAGUCUUUAGCAUUUCUUUAGUGGUGAUAAUGUCUUUUAACAAUUGUAACUUCCUUAGCCCCAGUUUUAUUCCCAUCUUUUUUUUUUUUUUUAAGAUUUAUAUAAAAUAGAAUGUAUUUAUUAUAUAAUUUUUGAUAUAAAUUGCAUCCAUAAUUAUAUAUCUAUACACACACACAUAUAUAUAUCAUAUAUACAAUCNCCCUCCCCCCUCCCCACCUCUCCCCUCCCCUCCCCACCUCUCUCUCUACCCCCUCCACUGUAUAACCCUGAGGGUCAGUUUACAACAAUCUAAAGCAUUUCUAGCUUGCACUGCUACACAUCUCAAAAUUCUUCCCACCAAUUCCAAAAAGCUCCAAAAAAUUCUGAACCACGUGGUCAUAGCAGCGACCCCACUUCUGGUACCAAAUUCUAUUUUAGUCAGCUAUUUCAUUGUUAUGACUAGAAGAUCUAACCAGAACAAUUUUAGAGGAAGAAAAGUUUAUUUAAGGGCUCACGGUUUUAUGGGUCUCAGUCCAUAGACAGCCAGCUCCAUUCCUCAGGGCUCAGGGUAAGGCAGAACAUUGUGGCAGAAGAGUGUGGCAGAGGAAUACAGCUCACAUCAUUAUCAGGAAGCAGAGAGAUCUCUACUUGCCAAAUAAAAAUAUAUAUUCCAAAGCCAUGCCCCCAAUGCUCCAUCUUCUCCAGCCACAACCCACUGGCCUUCAAUUAUCACUCAAUUAAUUCUACCAGGUGAUUAAUUCACUGAUUAGAUUAAGGUGCUUACAACUCAAUCAUUUCCCCUCUGAACCCUCUCACAUUGUCUCACAUGUGAGCUUGCUUUUGGGGACAUCUCACAUCCAAAUCAUAACAGCUUAUCAGUUCUUUCUUUCAUGAAUCACACUUGUUGCAUCUGAAAUAUCAUCAUCAUACCCAAUGUCAUCUAGAUUUUCUCCUUUGUUACCUUGUAGGAGUUUUAUAGUUUUGUGUUUUACAAUUAAAUCUGUGAUCCGUUUUGAGUUAUUUUUUCUGAAAUUGUAAGGUUUGUGUCUAGGGUUUUUGUUGUUGUUGUUGUUUUUUGGAGUAUGGCUGACCAUUUGUUUCAUGGUCAUCUGUUGAAAAGACCAUUAUUGCUUCAUUGAAUUUCCUUUGCUUUUCUGUCAACAUCAAUUGACUAUAUCCAUGUGGGUCUAUUUCUGGACUCAUUCUGUUCCACUGAUCUAUUUGUCUAUUUUUUUUUUUUGCCAAUACCACACUGUCUCAAUUAUAGUAGUUUUGUACUAUCUUAACUUUGGGUAGUAUCAGCCCUUCAACUUGUUCUUUAAUUUCACAUUAAGCUAUUAUGGGUCUUCUGCCAUUCAGUCUAAACUUUAGAAUCAUUUUGUUGAUCUUCAUAAGGUAACUUACAGGGAUUUUGAUUGGGAUUGCCUUGGCCCUAUAAAUCAAGUUGAUAGGAACAUCUUAACUUCUUGACAAUAUUGAGUUUUCUAUUCACAAAUAAUAUCUCACUCUCCAUUUUUUUUUUUUUUUAGUUCUUUGAUUUCUUGAAUCAGUUUUAUCGUUUUCCUUAUUUAGAAAUUAUACAUAUUUUGUUAGAUGUAUACCUAUUUCAGUUUUGGGGGAGCUAAUGUAAAUAGUAUUUUUUUUAAAAUAUUCUUUUUAAUUGUUGAUGGACCUUUAUUUUAUUCAUUUAUUUAUAUGUGGUGCUAAGAAUUGAACCCAGGGCCUCACACAUGUGAGGCAAGUGCUCUACCACUGAGCCAUAACCCCAUCCCUAGUAUUAUGUUUUAAAUUUCAAAUUUCAUUAAUUUGUUGCUGAUAUAUAGGAAAAUGAUUGACUUUUGCAUAUUAACUUUAUGUCCUGAAAUCUUGAGGAGGGGUUUUUGGUGAUUAUUGGUGAAUUUUCUACCUAGGUAAUAUGUCAUCUGUGAAUAGAGACAAUUAUAUUUCUUUCUUUUUUGUUUUCAAACCAUAUGCUUUUAUUUCCUUUUGUGUCUUACUUUAUUAGCUGAUACUUUCAGUAUGAUAUUGAAAAAGAGCAAAUAGGAGGGACAUCUUGCCUUCUUCCUGAUCUUUGUGAGAAAGCUUUAAGUUUCUAACCAUUAGGUAUGGCAUUAGCUGAAGAUUUUUUGUGCAUAAUUCUUUAUCAUGUUGAGGAAUUACCCUCUACUUCUAACUUACUGACUUUUUUUUUUUUUUUUAAAUCUGAAUGGGUGUUGGAUUUUUGUCAAAUGCUUUUUCUGCACGUAAUAUUUUAUUUUCAGCCUGUUGGUGUGAUGGAUUUAUUGAUUGAUUUUUUUUUCCAGAUGUUGAGCCAACAUUGUACAUUGAGAUAAAUUAUACUUGGUUAUGGUUUAUAAUUAUUUUUCUUCAUUGUUGGAUUGAACUUACUGAUAUUUUGUUGGGGAUUUUUUGCAUUUAUGUUAUGUUCAUACUUACAUAUGUGAAAUAAAUUAAGUAAUAUUGGUUUGUAGUUGUCUUGUAAUGACUGGUUUGGGGAUUAGGAUGACAUUGACCACAUAGAACCAGUUAGGAAGCAUUUUCAGCUUCUAUCUUGUGGAAGAAUUAUAAUAAUUCUAUCUUGUAGAGAAUUGUAAUAAUUUCUUCUCUAAAUAUUUGUGAGCAUUCACUAGUGAACUCAUCAGGGCUUUUUGCCUUCUGUUUUGGAAAUUCAUUUUAUUAUUUUUUUAGAUUGUUUCUUUAAUGAAUAUGUGUUUUUACAUUUAACAUGUAUUAUACACAUUGUAUAGUUUUUUUGGGUUUUGGUUUUGUGGUGGUGCUGGAAAUUAAAUCCUCUCUAAUUCUAGUGCUCUACCACUAAGCUAUAUCCCCAGCCUAGUUAAGUCUUAUUUUUUGGUCCACUCUGACAACCUCUUGUUAUUUAGUGGUUAUAUUUAAAAUAUUAAACUUCAAAAUGAUUAUUAAUAUAAUUGGAUUAAUAUCUACUAUGUUUGUUUCUGUUUGCUGUUUAUGGCCCUUGUUCUUCAUUCCUGUUUUUGUCUUACACUCACUCUUUUGUGGUUUAAUUGAGCAGUUUAGAUGAUAUCAUUUUCUUUUUUUUUAAUAUUUAUUUUUUAGAAGUAGUUUGACACAAUACCUUUAUUUAACUUAUUUAUUUAAUUUUAUGUGGUCCUGAGGAUCGAACCCAGAGCCUCGAAUGUGCUAGACUAGCGCUGAGCCACAAUCCCAGACCCAUUUUCUUUCUUAAUAUUUUUGUUUUUCUGUUUAUUUCAGUGGUUGCCCUAGAGUUUGUAAUACACAUUUACAGAUAAUCCAAGUCCAUAAUCAAAUAACACCAUUUCAGGGGUGUAAUGUGAAUACCUUUUACAAGAUAAUUCUGAUUCUUCACUCCUACCCCUUGUAUCAUUACUGUCAUUCAUUUCACUAUAUAUAAGCAUAUAUGUGAUAUAUAAAUACAUACAUAGUCAAAUAUAUUAUUGCUAUUAUUAUUUUGAAUUAACAUCUGUUAGAUGUUAAUUCAAAAUAAUAAAAUAAGAAAAAUAAAAAAAUUAUAUCUUUACAUAUCCAUAUUUGAUGCUUCUUCUUUUUCCAGAUUAUAAUGCCUUUCCUAUAUUGUGUUUCUUUUAAUAAAUUUCUUUUAAUAUUCCUUGCAAGGUAGGUCUAUUGGCAGUGAAUUCCCUCAAUUAUUACUUACCUGAGAAAGACUAUUUUUCCUUCAGUUUUAGAGGAUAAUUUUGCAAGAUGUAGAAUUCUAAGUAGCUUUUUUUUUUUUAUUUCCUCAAAACUUGAAAUAGUCCACUGCAUUCUCUUCUUGCCUGCAUGGUUUUCUGAGAAGUUGGAUAUAAUUUUUUUCUUGGUUCCUAAAUAGGCAAGGCCACAGAACUCUUCAGUAUGUGAGUUUGGAUUCUAACUCUGUGGUCUAAUAACUCCAGCACCUCCGCUCUUAUCAAGUAGUCUUUUCCUCUCCCCCACCCAUCCCACUCUCACUCUUUCCCUCUCUCUUUUUACAGAUUAAGAAAAUGAGGACUGAGGAUUUAAAGGAUUUAAUCAAAAUUCUAGCUAGUUAGUGGCAGAAUUAGAAGAAUUUCAGGUCUUCUGACAUUUUGUUUAGUCCUUUAGUCCUUGCCUAGACUAGAGGCUCUUGCAGGCUGUAUCUUUUAAACUGACAUUUUCAAUGGUAUCAGAUAAUGAAUAUUGGUUUUUACUCACUCACAUUUAGAACAUAAAAAUGAAAGAUUUACUUACUUGUGAUUUGUAACCAGAAUUUGUAUUAAAAUGUUAGGUGCUCUUUUUAGCAUAUAUUAUUUAAAUAACCAACAAACUUGUUUCAAAGAUUUCAGUGACUUUUAAAAACAAUUAAAAAAAAUUUUUUUAGUUUUAGGUGCACACAAUAUCUUUAUUUUAUCUCUAUGUGGUGUUGAGGACCAAACCCAGUGCCUCGCGCAUGCCAGGGGAGCUGGCUACCACUUGAGCCCCAUCCCCAGCCCAUUAAAGCAGUUUUUGAACGUUAAUCUUAAACUAUUUCCAUAAGUGUCUGGUUACUGUCAGGAAUAAUGUUGAAUCUCUGACUUCUACUGGAUUAAAUCACUAAAGCAUGCAAAGUUUGAAGAACUGCUGAAAGUGGGAUUUAUUAGUAAAGUGAUUUCUCCUCAAUAAAAAUGUUGAGUUUCUAUUCACAAUUCUGGUUCUUUUUAAAAAAAUCUUUCUUAGAAUAACAGUGGAUUUUUUUUUAAAUGUAGGAAUUGGGAGUGGCUCUUUUGAGGAAUGCUUACAGAAAGUUGACGGGGCAGAAUAGGGAGACAGAAUUCAAAAGAGAUGGAGAUGUAAAGAAGACUGCGAACAGGAGUAGGACAUUUUGGAGUGAAACCUUGGAUGAGGGGGGUGGGGAGGGGGCGGAAUGAGACAUGUGCUGAUAAAUUUUCUUUGAAUUUGAAUAGAUUCUUUGCCUGAAGCUUGUUUUGAGUUGGGUUUCUGUCUGGUUUAGGAACCCUUAUUGAUAGGUUUGUUGUUUUUUUUUAAACCAGAGAUUCAUUAUUCAAAAACUAUUAAAUCAUUUCUUAACAUAAUUAUAGAAAUACCAUGAAAAUAUUCUUCUAAAGCUAAAGCACCUUAUAGAAUUUUCUCUGAUUCUUCUAAAUUAGUCUAUCUGUAGGGAAAUUAAUUUUAAAAGUUUUUUAAUUAGUAUUUAAUUAGAACCAGAUAUAUUGGUCACUUUUUUAAACAAAAAGAAAUGCACCUUUAGCUUUGAGUCAUCUUAAAUCAGAUGUCAUCUUAAAUUGGAAAUAUCUGGGAGAAAAAAUUUGGAAUUCAGAUAAAGAAAGAAUACAGUUUUGUGGUAGUUACUCUGAGGCAAAAAAAAAAAAAAAAUGGAGAUCAUAUGGUCUCUCUCUUUCCAUAGUAAACUAGUUAGGAGUAGCGAUGAGGCAAGUGUACCAAUAACCACUACAUAAUACAAAACUGAUUGGCUAUAAAUGCCAUAGAAAGGUUGAGAGUUCAUGGAAGUGGUAUCUAACUCUUGUUUUGUUUAAAUAGCAUAGAACUUUUUUUUAAAAAGUUGUUUUUUUAUAUUAUAUGUAGCACUCAUCCUUUUAAAGUGUACAUUUCAAUGAGUUUUACAAUAUUCAGAAGGUCCGUAAUAAACUUUUCUAAAAGUUCUUGUGUUUUUAGCUAAGGUAUGCCCUCAUAUUUCCCAGGCUUCACCCUCCCUAAUUAGUAUCCAUCUGGCAGGUAUUUAUAUUGGCUGCCCAAUUCCUGCAGACAUUUGAGUUUGCACUCCAUCUUGAGAGAGUUUUUCCUAGGUUCAUUAACCAUGGAAGCAAAUACCUAGAUUGUGUGCAUGAAUGCCAGAGUGUGGGGAAUACUGGGUGCUAUUCUGCAGAGCAUCCUUUUCCCCACAUCUGUCCCUUUUCUUGCUCUGUCCUGGCUCCUAUAAGAAUCAUCACUGCCUCUGCCAUCAUCUUAGAAAUGACUUUAGAAAGUCCAAACACUUUAUGGUUUACAAAUUCUUGCAUGAUCUGGCCCCUGCCUACCACUCUAGUCUAGUUACCUUUGACUCCUCUCUUCCCAUCAAACUAAUCUUUGUUUUUUUCCUUCUGGUCAUUACCUAUGUAAUUACUUCUUGUCAUUCUUAUGUCAGCUUAAAUUCACUACUCAGGAGCCUUUCAGUGUUCAUCAUACCUAAAGCAGUUACUUACUCCUAUUACUUUCUACACAGCUUUAAUUUAAUUAUACCACACUUGCCACCAUUUGAUUUUGUUGUUGUUGUUUAUUUAAUAUUUUUCUCCUUUGUAAUGUAAGUUCAAAGUUGGCAGGUUCCUACAUAUUCAUAGUUAUUUCCUAAGCUUUUAGAACAUUGAGUGUUUGACACAUAGUAUGUGCUUAAUACAUAUUUGAUGAGUGAAAAUGCUGCUCUGAUUCAUCGGCAGUAUGAUGCGACCUGUUUCUGUCUUCUUAUUUUUGCCGUAAAUCUCUGGUCUGUUGAGGCCUUUGCUAUCUCUGGUUAUCAGUAUUUUUUGUGAGUUUGUUUCCUUUUACAAUUGUUUACUGUCAUUUUAAUGAGAUUUUGAGAGGUAGAAAAAUGUGUUCUCUCUCUUGAUGGUUGAGUUAUUGUAGUCAGGUUAAAAACAUGAACAGAGGCCAAGUUGGGAAACCAUUGCUUAUUUUUUUAAAUUAAUUAAUUAAUUAAUUUUAAUUAGGUAUAUAUGACAGCAGAAUGCAUUUUGAUUAAUUGUACACAAUUGCAGCACAACUUUUUAUUUCUCUGGUUGUACACAGUGUCGCAUUGCAUCAUAUGUGCAGUCAUACAUAUACCUAGGGUAAUGAUGUCCAUCUCAUUCCACCAUCUUUCCUGCCCCCUUGCCCUCACUCUACCCAUCCCUCCCCUUUACCCAAAGUUUCUUCAUUUUUCCCAUGCCCUCUUCCCCAUUAUGGAUCAGCACCCACUUAUCAGAAUAUUUGGCCGUUGUUUUUUGUGGGGGUUUGGCUUACUUCGCUUAGCAUGAUAUUCCCCAACUCCAUCCAUUUACCUGAAAAUGCCAUAAUUUUAUUCUCUUUAAUUCUGAAUAAUAUUCCAUUGUUUAUAUAUACUACAGUUUCUUUAUCCUUCUAUUGAAGGACAUCUAGGUUCCUUCCACAGUUUAGCUAUUGUGAAUUGAGUUGCUAUAAACAUUGAUGUGGCUGCAUUACUAUAAUAUGCUGAUUUUGUCCUUUGGGUAUGGACCUUGGAGUCAGAUAGCUGCGUCAAAUGAUGGAUCCAUUCCAAGUUUUCUAAGGAAUUUCCAAACUGCUUUCCAGAUUUGUUGUACCAAUUUGCAGUUCCACCAGCAAUGCCUUUCCCCACACAUCCUCACCACUUAUUGUUAUCUGUAUUCUUCUGACUGCUGUGAGAUGAAAUCUUAGUUUUGGUUUACAUUUCUCUAAUUACUAGAGAUGUUGAACAUUUUUCAUAUAUUUGUUGACAAAGGUGCCAAAAACAUACAUUGGAGAAAAAAAUAUCCCCUUCAACAAAUGGUGCUGGGAGAAUUGGAAAUCUAUAUGCAGCAAAAUGAAACUAAACCCCUCUCACUGUGCACAAAACUCAACUCAAAAGUGGAUCAAGGACCUAGGAAUUAGACCAGAGACCCUGCACCUAGUAGAGGAAAAAGUAGGCCCAAAUCUUCAUCAUGUCGGAUUAAGCCCUGACUUCCUUAACAAGACUCCUAAAACGCAAGAAAUAAAAUCAGGAAUUAAUAAAUGGAAUAGACUCAAACUAAAAAGCUUCUUCUCAGCAAAAGAAACAAUCAAUGUGGUGAAGAGAGAGCCUUCAUUUUGGGAGCAAAUUUUUUCCACACAAGGUCAGAUAAAACACUAAUCUCCAGGAUAUGUAAAGAACUCAAAAAACUUAACACCCAAAAAAAAAAGAGCACUUGCCUCGCAUGCACAAGGCCCUGGGUUCAAUCCCCAGCACCACAAAAAAACAAAACAACAACCCAAUCAAUAAAUGAGCUAAGGAUAUGAACAGACACUUCUCAGAAGAAGACAUACAUUUGAUCAACAAAUAUAUGAAAAAAUAUUAAAUAUCCAUGACUUAUUUUUGAAGAAUAAGGUUGAAAUUCUAGGGUUUCAGACCCAUGUUAGGGUCUGAAAUCAUUUGAUAAAAGAAUUCAUACUUAGUUCAGAAAACUCAAUUCAGAAAGUCAAAGGGAACUCAUUUGGGUGUUUGAACAGAAUCAUGACAUGAAUAGUCUCUAGUCUGACAGUGAUAGAAGUUGCUAGAGCAAUCUGAGGGCUCUGUAGUGUAGAUCUUAACCAAGUUAGUGAUCAUUUAAUAAGUACAAAGGAAGGCAUGAAAUAAAAAAAAAAAAAAAACAGUUGCAUCUCCUGGCACACAUGUUGCUUAAUUGCUCUAUGAUGAUUAGUUUUAACAGUGCAACUUUUAUUUUGAUGAUCAGUUGAUUAUAUAGGGGACGGUAUUGAAUCAGUAAUGAGUUGUAAAAUGUCUUUCCAAGGAACUUUAUAUUUAUGAAAUGAAUGAAACAAAGUAGACACCCAAAAGCUUUAUAAAGUGAGGGAUAUUUGAUCAACUCUGGUACUAUCCUCUGAAUGAUGGCAAGAGGUUAGGACAUAUAUGUUAAUGAAUAAUGUAACCUAUCAGUGUUCUGCUCUUUUACUCCUUUUCUUAUAGUAACAAAAUUUAGAAAAGCAAAACAUCUUCUAAAAAAACCCCAUCUUGAAGUUUGUGUUUAGCUUAUGCUUAUUGGGUUGAAUGCUACUAGCCUUUGAUUUGGAACAGAUUUCUUCCUGAUCUACUUGUGACAUUGAUCAACUUUUUAAAAUUACUUAAGUGUUUUCUUUUUUCAUGUGAAGGUUAGAAAUUACUCUUUAUUCUGUGUGAGCUGUUGUUUUUCUAAGACACUAAAUUUUAUUUGCAUUAAAUGAAACUAAUUUUUAUGAUGACCAGAAUAUGCUUAGAAAGUUAACUGAAUAAGCCAGGACAAUACACCUUAAGAAGGAUAACCUGAGGAUCGAGAGUUCAAAGCCCCCCUCUGCAACCGCAAGGUGCUGAGCACCUCAGGAAGACCCUAUCUCUAAAUAAUAAAUACAAAAUAGGGCUAGGAUGUGGUUCAGUGGUGGAAUGCCCCUGAGUUCAAUCCUUAGUAUCCAAAAAAUUAAAAAAAAAGAAAGAAAGAAAAAUAACAUGAAUACAUAAUAUAAAAACACAUUGGAGAAAUACACAAUUAUUUUUCAAUAUUCUUAGACUGUACUAUAUGUUUAAUUUGGUUAAAAUGUUUUAUAGUCUGUUUUAUUCUUUUCCAUUUAGGUACUUUGGAAUUUUAAAUGAUUUGUUAACUUAAAUGAUGUAUUUUCUAACCAAUCUUCAACUUCCUGAAGGCAGAGAUUGCUUAUUCUUUUCUUCUCUAAAUUUCCCCUUCCCACUUUCUCCCUUAUUUCAGUAUAAUUUCAAACAUACAGAAAAGUUGUAGAAAGAUUGCAAACAGUUUCAAUAUUUCUUUAUUCAGGUUUACCUAAUGUUUAUAUUUUACUACACACCCUGCACACAUACACACACUUACCUUUUUCCCGAGUAAUAUGAGAAUAAUUUCCAGACAUUAUGCUCCUUUUCGACAAAAUUUCUAGUAUAUCUAAGACCAAAGAUAUUCUUUCAGAUAACUGUUGGAAAUUGCCAAAAUCAACACUAUGAUCUAAUCCAUUGUCCAUAGUUAAAUUUUGUCAUUUAUUCCAGCGUUAUCCUUUAUGCCUGUAUAUUUUCCUGGGUCCAGGAUCCAGUCCAGGAUUAAGCAUUGCAUUUAGUUUUCAUGUUGAAGUUCCCUUAAAUAUGGAACAUUCCCUCAGCUUUUUUGAAAGCUAUACACCAAUUACUUUGUAAAAAAUGUCUUGAUGAUUUGAUUCAGAUAAUACAUUUUUGGCAGGGGUAUUACGGAAAGAUGCGUCCUCAAGGCAUCAUAACAGUAGUCAUAUGAUGUUGGUUUGCCUCCUUAUUGGUGAUGUUGUGAUCACUUGGUUAAAGUAGUGUCUUUCCAGUAAUUUGUCUGGAGAUAUAUUGAGAGUGUUUAAAUAAUCUCAGCAAAUUUGCACCCACCAGUUUUAGUAUCUUUUGAUGAUUCCUGCCUUGAUUAAAAAAAAAAAAAAAAAAAAAAACUUAAAAGAAUUACUUUUAAAUCCUUAGCUACUAUGACAGUGGUUGCAAAAUGGUAAUUUUUCUGUCAUUUCAUCUAUAUCAAUUCUUAAGGAAUUAUUAGUUUGUUUCUGUCAUAAUUUAUUUUGAUACUUAACUUGUCCCAGAUAGGCCUCUGGGAUCCCCGUCAGGCUGGCCCCUGUCUCCAUUUGACUAUCAUUAAUUGAGUACUUUCUGGCACAAGAUGUUAUAGGGCUCAUCUUAUUUUUUCCCUUGCACCAAUCCUUAAAUCAUUAUUCCAAGCAUCUCUGGUUCCUUUUUGUGCAGAGUGUAUGUUUAGGAAUCAAAAAUGGGGAACUAAGUGUGAUGAUUGCUACUGGGGUAUUAUUGCUACUAGGACUUUAUAGUGGGCAAACACACAUACACAUACAUCUCUCUCUCUCUCUUUCUCUUUACCACCAUCUGUUUGAAACCUUCAGUUUAUACUGGUAACUAAAAAUCUAAUACAAAUGAUUCUUCAUUUUUGUUUUUUCCAAUUUAAUUUUUUUAGUUGUUUCAGAUAAUGGUUUAUGAUAUAUUGUAUAAUAGGUAAUUAUAGGAUUGAGUAUUAGAACUUUUUAAAUAGGAAUGUUAGGAGUUUCUUGUAGAACAUUGAACUAAGAUUGGUUUUUCAACUACAGAUAAGGAUUUCUUGUUUGGUGUUUAAGAGAUUAAAAAUAUCUCAUUUUAUGAAAAUCUAGUGUAACUUAAGGAAUGCUUAUUCUCAUGAAAAUAUGGUUCAUCAAAGUGGACUCCUUUUCUAAGGGGUACAUUUAAGUGCUUGAUAAAUAGAAAAUUAAAUUAACUAUAUUGCCUUCAAUUUGACUUGCAUCUCUUAGGCAUUACACCUCAACUGUUAAAGUAGUUCUUUGUUUUUAUGCUUCUUUAUGUGAUCUUUAAUUAUCUUACAGGUAAUGUAAAUAAUAAUGAAGAGAAUUGUUAUUUGUAUCUUAGGUUGUCAGAAAUAAAAGGGAAGGCGUAAAACUCUAAAUCAUCUCCCCUAGAACAUGAUUUCUUUUUCUUCUGAAUGAGGAGGAUAUCAUUGUGGUUUGGCCCAAGAAUACUACACCAUUCUACUUGUAGAUUCGGUUCCAUCUGGCAACUUUACAAAAUUGCAUUUCAGGUAUCAGCUCACUCCUGGAGAACCAAGCAGUCCAUGCAAAUUCCCUAGUAGCCAGUUAACUCUGAUGUUGCUCUGUGAAGCCUUUGAGCAACGUAGUGCUUUGCUUCUGUUUUAGUCCCUUAACACUUAGGAGAGCAUGGCUUCCUUUGAAUUUGCUUCAUGCAUAGCCACAGGAAAAAAAUUUGGUUCCUGGAGAAUUUGUAAAUCGAAAAGUUUCUAUGUUUACCAUCCCUCCUGCAGUUAGUAUUAAUAUUCUUUUAAUUUAUGGAGGUUUUUUUUGCUCUUCUUGGGUCCUGCACAGUGCUUGUCAUACUGCUACUUAUAGAUGAAGUUUUGGUGGUGGUGGUGGUGGUAGUGGUGAUUGUUUUGUUUUGGGACAGAGUCACUGUGUUAUCCAGGCUGUUUUCAAACUCCUGGGCUUGUUACCAUCCUCCUGUCUCAGUCUUGACUACAGAUGCUCACCACCAUGACCAGCUUGGCUUUUUUUUUUUUUUUUUUAAGUGUUGGACAUGAAAUAGAACUGGGAAUUUUCUGUUGAGGGCCACUCAACCUGCAGAGGCAAUUUCACUGGUGAUGGAUAUACAAAAGCAACUUUCGAUUUUUUAAAAAAUUCAUCUGCUUUAUAAAUUAAGAACAGAAGAAAUGAUCUUAAAGUAUAGGCACACAAAGGAAUAUGAUCCUUAGGAAAAUAAUCCCAUGUAUGUGUAGAACACAAAUAUGAAAAGGAACAUACUGGGAGAUAGAAAAUUUAAAAUUUGGGUAAAAUUAAUUUUGAAGCUUCUUAAACUGUUAAAUUUCCAGUUUCCAUUUGGGCACUCUACAAAUGAUAGUACUUAGUGCACAGCAGAACUGAAGAUCCUGUGCUAAUAUAGUUUUAGAUGAAGAGAGAAGCAAAUCAAACACAUCAGGCAUUGCCGCAUUCUGAUAAAGCAGUUAAUAGUCUACCAACCCCAACAAUUCUCAGUCCAUUUUACAUUGUAUGUGUACUAUUUCUCUCCUUUUCCUUCUUUGCUUUAACUUCCUUCCUCCUCCUCUUGAUGGGUCCUCUUCCUCUUUGGUGCCUUACUAAAUUUAACACAGUUUUUUUUUUUUUUUUUUUCCAUAUUGUUUCUUUAAUCUGAUUUAGAUUUCCUUCCUCUUGCUUUUAGUUUGCAAGAGUUAUACUUUGCACAGUUGGGGGCACUUCUUAAACACGGAAAUCUUCACAAACAGACCCUUUCUCUAUUGUGUUUUUUCUUUUUUAAAAAUCGUAUUAGAGUAGUAUAGGAGGUAUUUAAAUUUUUGUGAGGAAGAUGAUGAAACAACUGGAAUUAAAGAACAAAUUUUUGAAUGAAUAACUCAGACGAAGCAUGUGACUAUGGUGAUAGAGAAGAAAUAAAUUUGGGACCCCACGGCUGCUUGAUUUCUUUAUGGUUUGAAUAUUACUCUUUAUAGUUCUGCCCUUAACUUAAUUGUGGUUACACAAAACUGCAUUACUUAUUAUCUUAUAAGCUUCCCAGUAAUUGUAACACAACACAGUUAUUUAUAUUUCAGUUGUCAAACUUAGGUGAACAUAAGCAGUACUGAUGAGAGCUUGUUUAAAAAUGUCCCAUUUUCUUAACAUCUUGAGCAGACCAUUUAAAAACUGACUUUAAAGCUGGGCAUGGUGGCACAUGCCAAUCCCAGCAAUUCAGGAGGCUGAAGCUAGAAGAUAGCAAGUUCAAGGCCAACUUGGGCAAUUUAGUUAGAUCAUAUCUCAAAGAAAGGGCUAGAGGUAUAGUUCAGUGGUAAAGUACUUCUAAGUUCAAUCCUCAGUAACACAAAAAUAAUUCCUUGCAUGUAUGAUUUUGUCAAAAUGAACCCACAUACUAUGUAUAAUUAUAAUGCUUUAAUAAAAGAGGCAAUAUUAAGUGAAGGUUUUUUUUUUUUUUUUAUCUCCUUUAACAGUGUUUCAUCAUUAUUGAUUUUCUUGUCUGUCCCCUACUAGAUUAUGUAUAGCUUGAGGACAGAGGCCAUCAUGUUCAUCUCUGUUCCUCCAAGUGCCUGGCACACAUAUAAGACAUACCAUAAAUGUUAAAUGAAAUUGAAGCUUCUCAUGCCUUUUUGGAACAUUUGCGCCUGCUAGACUCAGAGAAAUGCUCUAAAGGACAACUCUGCUCUCCUGAAUCCUGAAAGUUUUCAUGUGAUUUUAAUUAUACUUAUUUUUGUAAAAAAACAAUUUAAAAAACAUUAACAGACCAAAGAGUUGCGUAAAUAAGUAAGAUGUACUAUAUGCCAUGAAUUUUUCUUGCCACUUCAUAUGGAUGUGACUUGUAUAUAAGUAGUAUUUUAAAAAAAUAUUUUUAGUUGUAGAUGGACACAGUACCUUUAUUUUAUUUAUAUGUGGUACUGAGGAUCAAACCCAGUGCCUUACACAUGGUAGGCAAGCACUCUAUCACUGAGCUAGAGCCCCAGCUCAUGUAAGUUGUAUUUCCUCCUAGGAUUUCAGUUUCCCUCUACCUAAUAUCAACAGUAGCUGUCUGAUGGGCUUUCCUUUCUCUUAAAAACUCUUAAAAGGCAGUCACUUGCCCUCUGACUAAAUACCUUUCUUCCCUUUCCCCCUUCAUUUUCAUGUUUAAGAAUCCAGUUGCCUUCAGGGACAAAAAGGCUUGGCUUUCUUGGUCCAGUCUGACAGGUCCUGCCUUAGUUCUUCACUUUUUAAAUGUUACUCUUCCCACUUUGUCUUAUUUGAGAAGGUCUCAUGACAUUCUCACAAACACACUUUCUCCUUUGUUCUUUAGUUUGCGCUACUUAGAAUACAUUUAACCAGACUCUUAAGUCCUAAUCUAAGCUCAGCUUUUAAAAAUUUGUUCUAAUCAGUUAUACAUGACAGCAGAAUGCUCUUUGAAUCAUUAUACACAAAUGGAGCACAAUUUUUCACUUCUCUGUACAUGAAGUAGAGUAUCACACCAUUCGUGCAAUCAUAUGUGUACCUAUGGUAAUGAUGUCCAUCUCAUUCCACUAUCUCUCUUACCCCUGUGUCCCCUCCCCUCCUAAUCCUCCCUUUUGCCCAAUCCAAAGCUCCUCCUCUCAACCCCCCCCCCAUUAUAUAUUAGCAUCCACUUAUCAGAGAAAACAUUUGGCUUUUGGGUUUUUGGUACUGUAAGCCCUGCUUUUUGAUAAGGAAUCUCCAUUCCCUCCAAAUGAGGAAAUUGUAUAGUAGACUAAAAUAUCUCCUGAAAGGAAGGUUAUUAGAAAAUAGACUCUAAUACUUAACUUCAUGGAAAAUUUGACAGGAAUAAUAUUUUUCAUACUGAGUAAUACUAAACAGUUUCCUUAUGGGUAGUGGAGCCUACUGUAUACAUUACAAGUUUGAGCAGUUAUUUACUGUUACUGUCAAAAUGAAACCAAUCAGUGUUGGCAAUGGUAGACCACUCCACCAUUAUUUCUUUUUUUUAAUUCCAGGACAGUAGUUGGUUUAAAUAUUAGUGACAUCAUUAUUAGUUGUAUUUUUUGAUUUUCUACGAUAAACAUGGUUUUGAAAUAAUAUUCAGGUGAAACUUCUCAUUAAGUCAAUCUUUGUCCUUCCUUACUGAUAUCUGCUGGGCAUCUCCAUGCUUAUUUUCAGAACAAACCACCCUCUACUCACCUGCUGUUCACUAGUCUUGGUAAAUUCUGUCACUAUUCACUCAGUUGUUAAAACCAGAAAUCAAGGAAUUAUCCUUGAUUUCUCUCAUCUGCUCUUCCCAGUGUAGACUCUUUGAUCAAGGGACGUCUUUAAUUAAGUUCCUUUAUUACCAAAAUAUAUCUUGAGUUUGGCUGCAUACUUCGUUUUCAACUCGUAAAGAAAUGAUAUACAAUAGUUAAGAGCAUGGGCCUGUCUACAUUUGAGUUCUAGAUGUGCAGCCACGGCUUUAGGCCAGCUUUGUAACUUUUCUGUUUGUUUCCUUAGUAAAUGAGGUUAAAUCUAUCUACUUUGUGGUAUUAUUGUAAGGACUAAGUAAAUUAAUAAAUAUAAGCUAUCAAAUGAAUAAAUAUGAAACACUUGGAAAGGUGCUUGGUCCGGAUAUACUUAAUAAAUACUAAUUGCUUUCAUCAUCAUCACCUUCAUCUCCAUUCAGUAGUUGAGGCCUUUAUGAGAUUUUUCACCUUUACCACUGCAAUAGCUACUGGUCUAGGUUUCCCCCCUUAGAGUUUGUUCACCAUAGAGCAGUUAGAAUGCUCCUUUAUAAAAAGCAUUAAUGCCCUGGAUGCAAUGACACAUGUCUGUAAUUCCAGCACCUCAGAGGCUGAGACAGGAGAAUUGCAGAUUUGAAGCCAGUGUCAGCAGCUCAUAAAGCCCUAAGCAAUCUAACAAGACCCUUUCUCUGAAUAGAAAAGGACUGGGGCUGUAGCUCAGUGGUAAACUACCCUGGGUUCAAUCCCUGAUCCCCCCCUUCCCAUAAAUAAAAACUAUUAAUGCCAUUUUUACCAAGACCCUGCUUGAAUUUGGAAUAAAGUAAGGAAUUAUACUUAGAGGUUUUUGUUUUUGUUUUUGUUUUUUUUACAUAUAGGUAUUCUAAUAAUUUACUAGGCUUGCAAGGCUAUAGGUGCUCUUUUACCUGUCUGUGUCUCUAACUUCAGAUCCUACUUCCCAUUCUUAAAAUCACUGGGCUCCACCACAGAGUAGUCUCUCUUUCCUUUGAAUAUACCUGGCUUAUUAUUCCUCCUUUGGUCUUCUCAUUACUAUUUUUGCUGCCCUUCUUCUCCUAAAUCUUCAGUAGCUGACUUCCCUUUAUUCUUCAUGUCAGUAGGAUAAGGAUCCAUUAGGGAAAUAACUUUACAUGACUUGUGUCACCAUUCUAUUCUUAGUACCUAGAAUAGUGCCUGGCAUGUGGUAGCUGCUCAGUAAAUGAAUUAAUAAAAAUGAGAUUUUUUUUUAAAAGUGUACUCUUCUUAAAUUUGUUUGUGUACAUGAUGGCCACUAAAAGCACAAUAGAAUAAGUCAUACACUUGGGUUCAAAUUCUCAUACUGUCAUGUAGUGCAUGUGAAUCUCAGGAAAAAUUACCUAAGUUCUCUUAGCCUAAUAGUCUUCAUUUAUAAAUGAGUAGCAGUUGUCUUAGAGAGUUAGUGGGAGAUUAAAUGAGAUGUUCUUGUGAAGAACAGCACUCUAUUAAUGUUGAUUAAUAUAUUACACACACACACACACACACACACACACACACACUGUGAUUCUUCCAUUCAGCAGAUAUUUAAUGACACUGCUGUGAGCCAGGCACCAUUCCAAACAUUGUGGAUACAGAAUGAAACCAAAGCACUUCCUCUUAUGGAGCUUUCCUUCUAGUGGGGGAAGAGAAAUUAUAAAUGUGACAGAUGGUGAUAAGUGCUGUGAAGAAAAUAAAAAUCAUACAAGGGACAGAAAGUAACAAGGAUGAGGGUACUAUUUUGAUAGGAUACUCUUGUAAGCAGUGAACAGAGUGAAGCAAGUCCACCAGCCAUAUAGAUAUCUGAAGGCAAGAGUUCCAGGCACUGCAAAGGUUGGAGGUUGGAGCAAGUCUGUUUAUUCCAGUGCGCAAUAAGUAGCACACUGUGCCUGCUAAUGCAGGGGAUGGUGGAAAGAGAGGGUGCUGAAGGUUAGGAUCUCACAGCACUUUGUCCACCUGCCAGUGACUUUGGAUUUUAUUCUCACUUUAGUAAGUCUAUAUUUGGGGGAAUAAACCUUCUCCUUUGUGGUAAGGUAUUUUUACUCUUGGGGGAGGGACGUGGUUUCUGUCAUGUAUAAUGGAGCAGGGAAUUGAAGUGAGACUAUAGUAUAUCCCCUAGAACCUAAUCUAAAAAUCAUAGAGUGGUUUAGUAGGAUUUGUUGUAGUAUGCAUUAUAGUUUCUGUGGGCCUAUUUGGAUAUCAUUAAGGAAAGGCAUAAUGUUGUUAUCCAUCCAUUUUUAAAAAUCAAAUGGUUUUGAAAAAAGACUUAUUUUUUACCCUCUGAAAAAGCAGUUAACUGUUGGCUUAUUUUCUAAUGUCACUGUUUCUAGUAGGGUCAUUAUGUUUGGGAAAAUUUAGAUUUAGAAUUGUGAUUUAAUUGGUGAUUUGUAGCAAUUACAGCUGAUUCUUGAGAUGGGUAGGAUGUGGGUGUCAAGAAAUUGGCAGGCAAGAAUGAAUUUCCUUACCAGAUUUGCUGCUUGUAGACUGUGCAGAGGCUAUAAAAAGACUUGGUGGGGAUAGUAAAUAGAAGAUUCCGUGUUGGGGAUGGGAGAGUAAGGAUCAUCUGCAUCAGCUUCUGCAGAGUAUUUUACAAGGCAAAUUCUUUAAGAAAUGUUGUAGGAUCAAAAUCUUCCCUAGCCCACCUUUCCUUUCCUUUUCCCAUAGUGCUGGGGAUCAAACACAGUGCCUUGUGUGUGGCAGGCAAACACUAUUAGGACCUAACUUUUUCAUAACAAAGUCUCUGAAUAAGUUUCUCAAGUUAUUUUUUGUAAAAUAAUUCAUGUGUUGACAAAAUUCAAAAAGGAACAGAACUAGGAAUAAUAACUAUAUGGUGACUGCAGUUACGUCAAAAUUUCCACUUAUUCUAUGGCUCAUUGUCGUUGUUCACUAGAUAUAUUUUCUUCUAUUUGACUAUGUAGUAAUCUAGAUUUUUUAAAAAACAAAACUAUAAGUGAAAAUAUUUAAAGGGAUUUUGAAACUUCAACAUUAGACUUGCAUGUGUAGCCUGUAGUUCUGUUGGCUCCAUAAUAAUCUAAACCAUUCACAUUCAUUUUUAAUUACUUUAUAUUUGCUUUAUAAAAAUGUUUUCCUAUUGUUUUAUUUUUCCCAGAAUAGCCUUUUCCUUAUCAGUAAUUAUAGUGUGUGGUCACAAAAGAAGUGUAGGCUUUAAACCUUUUUAUGUUAAAAACAGGAACUCUCUGGUUAAAUGAAAUCUUGUGGGAACCCCAUUUGUAAAGUGACUGAGAUUGUAGGUGUUGUUACAACACAGGACCUGUGGUGCCAUCCUAAGUUCUUCUCCAAGAACACCUAGAGCUCAUUACCCUCUCUGAUCUGCUUUCCACAUUUGUAAAAUAGGAAUGAUGGUACCUGUCAUAAUGUCUGAUUCAUGGAGGUCUAUAACUAAUGUUCUUUCCCUUCCUCCUUUUACUGUAACUUCCUCAUGCUGUUAGUAUGUUCAUACACCACUUAUUUUUCUGAUUAAGGUCACCUGGAUGGAUAUUCUAUUGUGUGACCAGAUUUUUUACAGUGGAGAUAUUGUCUCCAAAAAUACUGUGCUUUAUGUAUUGUUGCCUAAAAUAUUCAUUAAAGAUUCUGAAGCUGCUGUCUCUGCCCUGAGUGACAGCAUCAUCUGUUUGGUGGCAGUACUGCAGACCCAGUUAUUUUAAAUGUACUUAGAAAUAUAAAAUGUAAUUAAGUACAUAAAUGCUAUUAUUUUCAAGCAGAAUUCUUCCUAGAACGUUUUAGCUUCCUGGGUUAUUUCAGUGUGUUUAGUGUUUGUUUGUUUUUGUUUUUAAUUUAGCUGCAGAUGUUCACAAUAUCUUUAUUUUAUUUAUUUAUUUUAAUGUGGUAAGUGGGCUUAGAACUCAGAACCUCACACAUGUUAGGCAAGUGGUCUAUCACUAAGCUAUAACUCAGCCCCAGUGUUUAGUUUUGAAGAUUUUCCUAGGGAAAAAGAGGAAGUUGACUAUUAUUCUGUUGCUUGUUGACCCUCAUUAUGAAGACUGGUAUUUCUAUAGCUCUGUUCUCAAACUAGCAAAUAUUAUUUGAGUAAUUAAGUCAUCUGGUUAGAUGAGAUUUUCUUUUCAUUAACAUUUUGUGUUUUUUAUAGGUAGACCACUUAAUGAGCUUUGAUCUCAGGUUUCUAUUGAGAUUGGUUUUUAAAUUAUUCUCUAAGAAAUAAAAAUCUUAGAAAUAAUAUUGUCACAAAUGAAUUAUGAAAACCGAAAUCUCCUUAAGAGCCAAAUUUAUGAAUUAAAGAAUUGGUAGAUCUGGGGCUUAGGCUUUAGCUCAGUGGUAGAGCAGUUUGUCUCACGCAUGUGAGGCACUGGGUUCGAUCUUCAGCACCAGAUAAAAAGAAAUAAAGAUACUGUGUUCAUCUACAACUAAAAAAUAAUUUAAAGAAUAUGUUAAAAAAAAGAAUUGGUAGAUUCAUCUUCCAUUUUCCAGAGUGGAAUGCCCUAAUUUAUAUAUAAUUAGGGUGAAAGAUUAAGAAGUAGGGAUUAUUAGUUUCUAAUAAGGUUGUUGAGGAGCUGUGGCCCUUCCCAAUCUUAGGCCUAAGGAAUUUAUUUGAUCUGAUUUUCAACAUCUUUAGAACUACAUCAAUUUGUCUUAAUUUUAAACAUUUGAAUUUUUCUGCAAAUUUUAUAUAGUGAAAUAAAUUAAAUAUUCACUUUCAUAAAACCUUAUCAGGUAAUUUUCAUAAGGAUCACAGAGGUUUUUUUUUUUUUUUUUUUUGGUUUCUACUUUAGCAAUGGAAGAUACUCUCUUUCUUAAACUAUAUCCUAAAAAUUUCAUUGUGUAUAUAUACCACAUUUUCUUUAUCCAUUCAUUUGUUGAAGGGUUUCUAGGUUGGUUCCAUAGUUUGGCUAUUGUGAAUUGAGUGCUUUGAUCAUUGAUGUGGCUGUGUCACUGUAUUAUGCUGAUUUUAAGUCCUUUGGGUAUAAACUGAGGAGUUGGAUAGUUGGAUAGCUGGGUCAAAUGGUGGUUCUAGUCCAAGUUUUCUGAGUAAUUGCCAUAUUGCUCUCCAUAAUGAGUUAUUUUUCAUUCAUCCUCACCAACAUUUAUUGUUGCUUGUAUUCUUGAUAAUUGCCAUUCUGACUGGGUGGAGCUGGGGAAUAUCUUGCUAAGUGAAAUAAGCCAAUCCCCCAAAACAAAGGCUGAAUAUUUUCUCUGAUAUGCAGAUGCUAAUUCAUAAUAAGGGGGUGGCUAGAGAAAAAUAGAGGUACUUUGAAUUAGGCAGAGGGGAGUGGAGGGAGUGAAGGGGAUAUGGGAGUAGGAAGGAUAGUCGAAUGAAUCAGACAUUAUUACCCUAUAUACCUAUAUGAUUCCACAACUGCUGUGAUUCUACAUCAUGUACAACCAGAAGAAUGAAAAGUUAUACUCCAUUUAUGUAUGAUCUGUUGGAGUGCAUUCUGCUGUCAUGUAUAACUAAUUAGAACAAAUAAACAAAUUCAAAAAAACAUUAAAAAUCCUAAAAAUUUCAACACUGUCUCCAUUAAUGACUUCUAGUUUUUAAAAAUAAUAUAAUUUAUGGUUUUGAAGUUUGAUACCAGAGAGUUGUACUAUAUAUCAGAGCACAUACCACAAGUUACAUUUAUAACUUUUCAUUCAACACAAAUGUCUGUAUUUCAGAUGGAGCAGCUUUCAGAUGA